rnacentral:lncRNA from 1 species
GCUUUCAAUUUUUGCUGCAGUCAGUCAUCAAAAUUGGUUCAUUUUCAUUAAAAUGGUGUUAUUCUUCACCCAUCUUCCUGAGCAAGUUCUUUCUAAUAUACUGAAGCAUAUAUUCUGCAUAGAUUGUUCAACAGUAAUCCGUGUUAAUGAUGUACUAGUCUCUAUGUGGCAAUCUACAGUAUAAGAUCUUAUACGAUUAAAUUGAUUCUUUUUUAGAUUCUUUGUUUUUCUAUUGUCAUCAACGCAAAUGAUGAAUUUAAUGAAUGAAAGAUUUU